rnacentral:rRNA from 1 species
AGAGUUUGAUUAUGGCUCAGGAUGAACGCUGGCGGCGUGCUUAACACAUGCAAGUCGAACGGAGUUUUUAAACGGAAGUUUUCGGAUGGAAGUUUAGAAACUUAGUGGCGGACGGGUGAGUAACGCGUGGGUAACCUGCCUCAUACAGGGGGAUAACAGUUAGAAAUGACUGCUAACACCGCAUAAUAUAGCGAAACCGCAUGAUUUUGCUAUCAAAUAUUUAUAGGUAUGAGAUGGGCCCGCGUCUGAUUAGCUAGUUGGUGGGGUAAAAGCCUACCAAGGCGACGAUCAGUAGCCGGCUUGAGAGAGUGACCGGCCACAUUGGGACUGAGACACGGCCCAAACUCCUACGGGAGGCAGCAGUGGGGAAUAUUGGACAACUGGGGGAAACCCUGAUCCAGCGACGCCCGCGUGAGUGAAGAAGUAUUUCGGUAUGUAAAGCUCUAUCAGCAGGGAAGAUAAUGACAGUACCUGACUAAGAAGCCCCGGCUAACUACGUGCCAGCAGCUGC